GUGUUCGAUUAAAGGAGAGAUGGUUGGCAUUUCCCUCGACAGGACCGGGAACGGCCUUCGUGCUUGCCUAUUAACACAUAUGUCUAAUUUUUGU